UGGGGAAUUUUGGACAAUGGGCGCAAGCCUGAUCCAGCCAUGCCGCGUGCAGGAUGAAGGCCUUCGGGUUGUAAACUGCUUUGUACGGAACGAAAAGACUCCUUCUAAUAAAGGGGGUCCAUGACGGUACCGUAAGAAUAAGCACCGGCUAACUACGUGCCAGCAGCCGCGGUAAUACGUAGGGUGCGAGCGUUAAUCGGAAUUACUGGGCGUAAAGCGUGCGCAGGCGGUUAUAUAAGACAGAUGUGAAAUCCCCGGGCUCAACCUGGGAACUGCAUUUGUGACUGGAUAGCUAGAGUACGGCAGAGGGGGAUGGAAUUACGCGUGUAGCAGUGAAAUGCGUAGAUAUGCGGAGGAACACCGAUGGCGAAGGCAAUCCCCUGGGCCUGUACUGACGCUCAUGCACGAAAGCGUGGGGAGCAAACA
rnacentral:rRNA from 1 species